GAUGAAGAACGUAGCGAAAUGCGAUAAGUAAUGUGAAUUGCAGAAUUCAGUGAAUCAUCGAAUCUUUGAACGCACAUUGCGCCCCUUGGUAUUCCGGGGGGCAUGCCUGUCCGAGCGUCAUUUGCAACCCUCAAGCCCGGCUUGUGUGAUGGGUGCCGUCCCCUACGGGACGCGCCCCGAAGGCAAUGGCGGCGUCGCGGUUAUCCGAUCAGCCAAAGUGUAUGGGGCUUUGUCACUCACUUUACGGCCCGGACCGGCGCCAGUCCGAAUCAAUCUUUUUUCUAAAGUUGACCUCGGAUCAGGUAGGGAUACCCGCUGAACUUAAGCAUAUCAAUAAGCGGAGGA
rnacentral:misc_RNA from 1 species